CUAGAACAGUGUCUCACACUGUGCAAUAUCCAUUCUCGUGCACUUAAACAACCCAUCUCAGGUAGGGGUAACUCUUUAAUGGUUACCAUCUGGUGAUCGCCUGGGACUAUCUUUUUCCAUUUGCAUCUAAGCAGUUAUGAAUGAAGGUGAUUAUACACUAAA
rnacentral:misc_RNA from 1 species